rnacentral:lncRNA from 1 species
GAUGAUGUAUAGUCAUAAAUGAUUGCAUUGCAUGGAAACAAAUAACUAAUAUUGGUGAUAGAUAUUUGUAUGAAUGGGUUUAGGGUCUGUUAUAGUUGUUGUUGUUGAGAACCUUAAGAUGCAGACUCAAAUGUCCUAACGCUUCUUCUUCCACUACCUUUCAAAACCAUAGAUUCGAUAUGUUCACUUUAUGAGAUUUAGCAAGUGCUUCGUAGCAUGCCACCUAAGCAUCCACCUAGGAUUUAUUCUUUCGUGUCUCACGCACACUCAUCAACGUUAAGGCGCAUUUAUCCACGUGCCUAUCUCCUCACUCCAGAAGCUCUAAACCAAUUCACCAUAACGUUAAAAGCUUCGAAUCACUAUAUAUACCUCACCACCCUCUCCCUUUUCAUCAUCAAUCAAUUAUCCUUUCUAUUUUAAACCAUCCUUUUCCUUUUCCUUCUACUUUUCUUUUCUUUUUUUCACCACCAAGUCAACAUGGGGUCUCUGCUUCACAUCAUUCUGCAUCACCAAGGUAUUGUUUGCUAUGUCCAAGAAUUGUCUGCUUACCAACUCAUGAAUCUUUUCGAAGGUGAUGAUGAUGAUAACGAUGACGGUACCUAUGAUUAUGCCCCUGCAGCUUAAAAGAUAAUAGAUGUUAGCGACAGUUCAUGCUCCUGUCACAAGUUUUUCUGCGAAUGUUGGUUUAGAACUAAGUAGAGGAAGAAGAAACAGUUGUCAUAGUUUUUAGAGCAAUAUAAUAACCUCAUUUAUCUUCUUAGAGUAAGUGAGUCAUUUCGGUUAGAAUUGCAGGUUAAUUCUACCAUGAUUGUUGUUCUGUAAUACUUAUUUAUUGUUUAUAUGGUAACAUAAUUUAAUGCAACGGUAUUACAGAUUUAAAUUUUAAAUUAGGCUAAAUACGUUUUUCCAUCUUAUUAUUUAUUUUAUGUAAAAUUAAUUUUUGUUUUAGUCCAAAUUAUAUAGCACCUAAGUACUGGUACUAAGUAAAGAAGAGAUUAUUAACAGUUUUUUUUAGAGAUAAAUGAAUUUUUAGUGUAAAAAUGUUAUAAUACUCUAAUAUAAUAUAUAUUAGAUAUUAUUUUAAUAAUCUUUUAUUAUAAAUAUAGAAAAUUUAAAAUUUAAACUAAAAACAAAAUCAAUUUUAUAUUAUAAUAUAAUGAUAAAAAUAUAUAUUUAACUCUAAUAAUAUUAAUAGUAUGAGUGUUAUUAACAGUAAUAAUAUUAAAUAAUAAAAUAAUUAUAAUGAAAAUAAUUAAAAAUAAAAUAUGCAAGACUAUUUAUGAAUUUUUUUUAAAUAAAUCCUUUUUUUUUCUCAUUCGAUUUAAAUGAGACAAAAGACAAACUUGGAUUUUUCUUCUUCUAGUUUUAUAUAAAGUUUUAAAAAAAGUAUUCAUAGAUAAUACUUAGUGUUCAUUCAACAAACUAAGAAAGAGAGACUACUAUUGUACUCGUUGAAAGAUGAAACUCUCUCCCUAAAGAGCAAAUUAUAUGAUUUGAUAAUCAAAUACUCAUUCAUCUUUGUAUCUUAGCCAAGAAAUAUUGUGUGACAAAGAAUACUUAAUUAAGUCAAGAGUGAUAUCAAGCUGAAACAAUACUUAAAAAAUUAGCCAUUAGUGACUAUGAGACAAAAAAAUAUUAAUUAACUCAAGAGUAACUUGUGGAAACAAUACUCGAGACAUUAGUCAAUAGUUUGGCUAUGAACCCAAAGAAUACUAAUUAAGCUAAAAGUGACUUGUAAAAAAAAAUACAUAAAAAAUUAAUGAAUAGUGACUACGAUUCUAAAAAAUACUCAAAGUAUACUUUACAACAUUAAUCCACUUACUAUGAAAUCAAUUUUCUCGACAUGGUAUUAACCAGUUUAUUAAGUCUUAGAGUUGCAUCUGUUAUGUUUCAUCAAACACCACAUGUUCUAAAAGUACACCACAUGUUCUAGUUAUCAUGAAAAGCACACAUUCUAAACUAAUCACCCAAGUUAAGCUUUAAACUUGCUUCUAAAUUGAUUCAUCGAACAAAACUCUCACAAACUAAUAGCUCAUUCAAACCAAAGCUAUCAUUUCAACACAUUCACAUUCAGACCAUGCUUACAAAAUUAAUAAAAUAAAAUAAAUUUAUACAUAAUCUAAUUUUUUUUUCUUGUGUUUUUCUAUCUUAAAAGAAUAAAAAAAAAAAUCUCAAUUCAAAUUCAAACUCAUUCUCAUCUGCUACAACUAUAAUAAUCAACAUCUUCAAAUUAAGGAAAAUAGUUCCAAACAAUAGUUACUAUUUAAAUGUUUAAUUAAAUAAUGUCUAGGAUAUAGAUAGAAAGCUUUUAAAAGAAAGUUAAUAUCAAUUUUUCUUUUUCUUAGUUGUUCCUCUUUAUAUAUAUAUUUAACUUUUAUUUUAUUUUUUCUGAUUCUAUCCUUUAUUGGUACUUUAUUUUACAUUUUCUCUAUUUUGUUGUGUGUUCGUAUAUAUUUUGAACCCCUGUUUUGAUCUCGAUAGAAAAAUAGAAAAAAAAUAUCUCAUACUUUUUUUUUCCUUCCUUUUUCUCUUUUGUUUCUCUUUUAUAAUAUGGUUUCAGAAUUUUGAUCAGAGUUCUGAUUGCUAGAAUUACAAAUUAUUCGUAGAUCUUUGUUCACCUUGUCAUUUUAGUUCAUCUUAUAAUCUUUCAUCUCUCAUUGACAAUGACUCAACAAGAUACAUUGCGACAAAUUCAAUGUUUCACGAACAUAAGAAACACAUAAAAAUAGAUUAUCACAUUGUUAAGAAAGAAGUGAAGAAAAGUCUCAUCCAUUUGCUUUUCAUUUCCACCAUAAAACAACUUACAAUCUUAAGUCCUCAAUCAUUCAAGAAUAUUUAUUUCAAACUGGAUCGGAUCAAUAUUUGUUUCCCAACAUGCAAAGAUAUAUCAAACGAUAUCAAUAUUUAUUUUACAUUAUCUAUAUUUAGUUAAAAUGUUUAUAUAUUCUAACUCUGCUUUGAUCUCAAUAAAACAACAGAAAAAUAUUUAUUCUCAUAUUUAUUGUCUUCCUUUUGUCUCUUUUGCUCAUCUUUUUUAUUUUUUAUAAUAAUACCCAAACUAUUUUCCACCUCAGUUUCCAAAUAAUCAAUGCUUAAUCCAUCGAUAUACUACUAUACAUUCAAAAGAUAACUUUGCUUGAUCCAAAUCAAAGUUCCUGAAUCCAUAGCAUUUUCUGAACAUUCAUCAUUAGGAUUUUUGGGUUUUACGAGAUCACAUGGGACCAACAUUCAAAAAUGAACAAUUGUAAGAUUCAAAACUAGUUUGUUUGAACAGAACCUCCAAAGCCAUGGAUUAUUUGGAACUUCAUUACUGUCGCAAACAAAAAAAACUGCAUCAAAGCAUUAGCGUAAAACUCCAUUUAGCAUCAUAUUGACGAAUAAAAUUCAAGCAUUAGUUUGAAACUAAUAAACCUUCUGAAACUAGUAUGACACUUGUCCAGAAAUACAAGUUCAAUGAGUGAAAGAAAUAAAUAAAAAAUGUAAAAAAAAAAACUGUAAUAACCAUAGAUGGAAAUCUCUGACAUGGUUAUCCUUAUGGGUACCAAAUUCAGAAAAUUUCCGAUUAAAAUCAUAUGCGUACAGCAUAUGUGCAAACUGACUCAACCAUGAAACCAUCUAUAAAUUUCUAAAAUAGACUAAUUAACUUUUUUAGGAAGUAUACAAACGUAUCCAUCCAAUUUGUGUUUUACCUCAACAGAUAUAUGCUGAUGUGCAUGAGAAAGACGAUUAAUGAUUUCUGAACAACAUCCUUCACAGUGACUUCUUCCGAAAAUAAAAACAUUGUUUACAUAGUAAACCUAUUUAAUGGAAUGGUGGUAUCAUUUAAACAAAAAAAAAUUGAUUAAAAGAAAAAAAGUACUCAAAUCAAAACCAGGUUUUUGGGCUCUAAAAAGAUAGCAUGGAUUUCUUUAAGGUUUUUCAAGAUAUUUUUGUCAUCGCACCUACAUAACAAUUAAUUAAUAAAAUCAAAAGACAAAUGUUUUAAGUGGAAGUCAAUGGCUAAUGUAAUGUCACUACUUUCGCUAGAUGCUUAAAGAAUACAUCUGUUUUCCUUCCCCAUAAUGAAAAUUACAGGAAAAGCAUUCCUUUUCAAAUUCCACCAUAAUAAAAUACUGUAACAUAAGCACAAGCUGUAGGAUGAAUAGUUAUAUUAUUUAUGUAAAACAAUAAUGAACAAGACAUCACGAUUAACCAAACUACAAAUAAAUAAAUAAAUGUUUAAAAAUUAAAAUGAUGAGAACAAUAAUAAAUGCUUCAAAAGCAUAGAAGUAAAAAGAGUAAUGCUAUGAAUACAUGAUGAAAUUUAAAAAUAAAAUUUAAAAUUAAUGAUAUUGAAUAAAAUAUGUAAAAUGCAUUCAAGAAAGUUCAAUGCUUAAAAAAUUAAAAUAAUAUAAACGUAAAAAUAGUGUAAAAAAAAUGAAAAUAAGAAUAGGUAUUGUUUUCAAAAUUUAGUAAAAUUGAAAAAAAUAAUAAAUUUUUCAAAAAACUAUUUAUAUAAAAAAUGUUCCUGCCGGUUGACUCGUCUACAACGAACACACGCCUAGUUGUUUCUGCCUUUGUUCGUGUCUUCUUUCGAUCAAACACCUGAAAUCACAAAGACCAAGGGCAUGACCCUCACAAGUCGUAUCUCUCCCAGUGGCUCUUUACUCGUGUUACACCUGAACGCAUCAUCCACACCACACACAUGGACUCCUCGUGAUCUAGGCUUCUCCCUGCUGGUAACUGGUGUGUUGUCUGGGAUCCACCUCUCGUGGCCCAGCUCCGUUGUUUUAACUUGCCGAGGUCCGAGGACACGUCAGUAUAUACUAAUGACCGAUGCCUGACCACUCAUCGUCCCUCUGGCAUAUUAUCUGCGAGACACUCUAGGCAUACCAUUUGUGGGACCCACCUUACAUGAUCGAGGCCUGACCACUCCUCGACGCCUUGGGCGUGCUGCAUGCAAGGUGUUGGCCCCUGCCACUCGUGGGAUCCAGCUUACGUGGCCCCUGUCCACUAACAUUCAACAACACCCGAGGAGUGGUCAGUACACAAGCCCCCCAGUCUCGAGAUGUUAACUUGUUCACCAAAGAGACUAAGUCCUUGCCCUGGCGACCUACAUGGCUCUAUGUGACAAGACGUGAACAGUGCACCGAAGUGACGCUUCUCUAUGCCCGUUUUAAUCUGCACACACGUGUCUUGAUCACCGGCCAGGACUUAAUGCCGCUUACGCUUCUUAGUUUACGUUAAAUUUUCAAAAACACGCGCUUCCAUUCACUGUUCCAUUAUCAGAAAUUUCUUGCACGCUUCAUCUUCUUCUCCAAACACUCUCACCUCCCUCUUGCGAAAAACCAUAACUUUCGACUCUAACCAACAAAAGGUAUGAUUUUUACCCAUGGAUUGUCCUCGUUCUUUGAUUUCACACUUUGAUAACUGUCUGGGCCUGUUUAAAUUCCUUGCAUUUUAGUCUUUCUCUGCUUUUUCCCCGUUCUUUUGUUUUUUUGGGUUUUCCUCGAGUGUGGGGUUUUUCUAGUUUUUUGCUGGGUUACACCAUCACCCUCUUCUAAACCUUCGUUUUCUCCUUUCUUUUUCUUGCUUUUUAGCUUUCUUCGAGAUGGCUCGAACAAAAACAACUUCCAACCCUCCUCCCAAAGUAGAUUACAGAGCCCUCUACCCCUAGUCCUCUUAGGACCUCCUGGCUGAGACCUCCUCACUCACCUGCAGUAAGGAUGUGAUGAAGCAUAGGGAGGAUCAGGCCACUCAUUUGCUCCGCGUGCUUGGGCAGGAGUGCGACACAUAUGGGUCCGUUCAACCCUGCGCAAACGACAGGGAACUCUUCUUCCUUUACGCCACCAUUUUCAAGAGGGUCAAGCUUCGUUUGCCGCUCACGAUGUUCGAGCGGGCUCUACUAACGAAGAUUAAUGUGGCCCCUACCCAAUUGCACCCCAACAGUUGGGCCUUUGUGAGGGGGUUUGCAAUCCUCUGCAACCAUUUUGGGCACACCCCUUCUGUAGACGUCUUCCUCCAUUUCUUCGAGGCCAAGAGUCUAGGGAGAAAGCUUUGGGUAAGCUUUAAUGGGGUGGCAGGGAGAGUUCUCCUCACCUUAUUCCAACAAUCGUAUAAGGACUUCAAAGGGAAGUUCUUCCGGGUGUGUUGCACCGACUAUGACCGCACCCUUCUGGAUGGAUUUCCACUCGAAUGGGUGAAGGAACUAAAGUUCAAGAAGUUGAGGACUCUUAAGGAACUGACUCCCCACGGUCGCGAGCUCUGCCAAGUCUUCGCAAGCCUAGGGGCGGUGUUCAACACUUCCUAACUGAUCAAGUACAAGUUCAGCCCUUCUGAUCUCAAGGGCUAUAUCGAUACCCGCUCAUCUCUUUCUCACUUUGCUGUGAAUACCAGUUAUCAGCUCUUUGUGCUUGCAUAUUCUUUCUCUUCAUACUUGUAUGUUUACUUUUACAUCCUAUAUUGUUUUGCUGACCCCAUGCAUUCUAAUCUUCGUACAGGCAUGGUGCUGAACGAGGAAAAACGAGCUAGGCUAGAUGACGCCCUUGCUCGUCGCCCAGGGGCGCCUGGGGUCGUGGGUGCCUCUGCUCCUCCCACUCCCAUUUCUGCCACCGCCUUCAACCGGUCCCCCUUGUCACCGUCCAAGCGUCACCUGCUCCAACCCCCCUUGAGAAAGGCAAAGGAGUGGUGGAGAUUGAGUCUAACGAGGACUCCACGGAAGGGCUUGUCUUUAAAAGGCACAGAGCGAUGGUUGCUACGACCUCUCACUCUACAACUGCGGGUCGCCCUGCCUCUUUCAGGGAGCACCCGCCAAGCGCUUCUUCACCUCAUGGCCUCCUCGCGCUCGAAGGUGGUGGUGAGAGCGCCUCUAGGCAUGGGCACACUCCACCUGCACCUGAGCUUUCUGUUGUCCUUCUUCAGAAUGCCCUCCAAGGUUUCCAAAGAGGGGCAACGGUGGAGAUGACUAAGGAUGUGGCCAGGGAAUGCUUGGGCCUUGGCUUCGGCGAACUCCUUGCCCAAGCAAACCCCCAGAUCGACAAGGCUGAAGUGAUGAAGCAGUAGUUGGCCUUGGUGGAGGCAAAGGCUAAAGAAGACUUAGCUCUGGCAGAGGAAAAGAAAAAGGAAAAACUGGCCCAACCGGUUCUGCUCCAAUCGGGAAACCGGCCUGGAUCAAGAGUUAAGCAGUCUCCGUCAGACUGAGAAAGAGAUCAAGAAAUGACUCUUCGACAAAGGUCAAGAGUAUAAUGAUCUUGAAUCAAAGGUCUUGCUCUUGCGCACCAGGGUCGUGGAGUUAGAAAAAGAGGUUGAGGCUACCAAUUAGGGUUUUUGUUCUUUCCACUACCCACAAUUAGGGUUACUGAGGGUGUGCCUCAGCGCUACUAUCACCCACUCUUAGGGCAAUCUAGCGCAUAAGGCUCUCUUACUAGAGUGCAACCUCUAACAGAAUGACCACCUGGAUACCAACUUAUGCACCUAAUCUCUGGAGUCAUCCGUCCUGUAAGUGCCCUAGCUGUUCACGUGUCAUGCAUGUAGCUUGUCGGUGGAACGUAACCCUUACAAGUCGUAUCUCUACCAGUGGCUCUUUACUCGUGUUACGCCUGAACACGUCACCCAUCGUGAUCUAGGCUUCUUCCUGCUGGUAACCGAUGUGUUGUUUGGGAUCUACCUCUCGUGACCCAGUUCCACUGUUUUAACUUGCCAAGGUCCGAGGACACGUCAGUUUGGGAUCAGUUGCACUACCGAUGUGUUGUUUAGGAUCAGUUUCAGUGAUGACCGAUGCCUGACCACUCCUCGUCCCUCUGGCGUAUUGUCUGCGAGACAAUCUGAGCAUACCGCUUGUGGGACCCACCUUACAUGACUGAGGUUUGACCACUCCUCGAUGCCCUGGGCAUAUGCCGCAUGCAAGGCACUGGCCCUUGCCACUCGUGAGACCCAGCUUACAUGGCCCCCCGUCCACUAACAGUCAACUACACCCGAUCGGUACAAAAACAUUUAAAAAAGGUAAAAAUAGUAAUAAGACAAGUAAAAGGUUGAGAUGGAUAAGUUUAUAUUAAAAAAAUAAAAAUAUAUAUAAAAAAAUCACUACAAGAAAAUCAUUAAAUAUUAACAAAAUUUAGAAACCAAAAAUAAUUAAUCACUAUAUUACUUAAACUAUUAAUUCAAAGACUAGAAAUAUUAUAAAAUAAUUUGUAAAUUAGUAUCCAAAUUAGUUAUCAAAGUUUUAACUACUAAUAUUUUAGAUUCUAAAUUAAUAUCUAAAAUACUAAUAGAUACUAAUUUAGAAAAUAAGUAGUUAAUAACUAAAAUCUUGGUAACUAAUACUUAGAUAUCAAUUUAAAAACUAUUUUGUAAAUUUUUAUUAAUAAUAAAAACUACUUUAAAUACCAAUAAUUUUUCAUUUAUAAAAUAAUUUCUAAUUUAGUCAAUAUAGUAACUAAUUAUUUUACUAUUUAAAAUUAGUUUCUAUUAAACAAUUUUCUUGUAAUGAACAAAUUUUUUUUUCUCUCAUAAGAAUGUGGAUAAGAAAGUAGAUUUCACUCACAUUUUUAUAUGAUCGAGAUAGACACAAUAAUUCAAAACCUAACCUCCCAAUUUCAAGCAACAAUCAUCCCAUCGCGAACAUAACAAUUUGAUUUCACUAAAAAGAACAACAAAUAUCAAAUUAUCAUAGUCUCACAUCGUAAUAGUCUCGACAAUCCCACAAUCCAAUAUUGCACAUUUUGGGUCAUCAAAUAAUACUUCCCCAAAAAAUAGAGAAAGCAUUCUACUUCAACUAUACUAACCCUCAAUAAGCUCAAACAAUCCCCGAUUCUGACCGAAUCAAUAUCUCAAUUUCAAUUUAAAUCAAGGGAUCCAAAUCUUUCAAAUUAAGAAAUAAAAUUCCAACUGUUCUGGUCACCCAUAAUUCCACGGCAAUUUUGUAUAUACCUUUCUCUUUUAAUCUUUCAAAAUGUCUUCAAAAACAAAACCAUAACAAAACUCUUAUUUUCAAAAAGAAAAGAACCAUACUCAUAUGGGAUAAUUAACUCUAACGAUGUCUAUCUUAACAAACUUGAGAUCAAAAAACAAUGUGGGACAUUCAUGCCAUGUCAGGCAAGUUCACAAUUUCCAAAUAAUCCAUAAUGAAUCAUCUAAAGCACAUUUGCAAUAUUAAGUUUGCAAAUGCAUUCAUGGGAGUUUAGGGUCUUACCAAGGCACACACAACAUAAAUCUCUAUUUCUAAGUGAGGGACAAGGAAACCAUGUAAAAGAACCUUCCCAAUUACAUCCAGUGUCCAAAUCUAUAUUAACGGGUCAUGUGACGGACAAGGAAACCAUGCUAAAGAACCUUUCCAAUUCUAGAGUCCUAAUCUAUAUUCACGGGUCUGUACCAUGUCAAAUGUUUAUCGAUAUUUCAUAAUGAGACAAGAUAUUCGUAUCUGAAUGAAGCUACUUUGAAAAUAAAGAACAAUAAAUUAUCUAUAUUGUAGGCAAUAUUAAGUUUAGUAACAUAUAAUCGAUUGUUCAAGAACCAUCCAAUAAAUAACUGUAAAUGUAUGAGACUUGUCGAUCUUAUCAAAACAAACCACACCAACAAUCUCAAUUUACAAGUAACAAACAACGAAUCCAUAUAAAUAAUACAUUCACAAUUGUAAGAAUCAAAACUAGUUUGUUUGAACAGAACCUCCAAAGCCAUGGGAUUAUUUGGAACUUCACAAACAAAGAAAUGGCAUCAAAGCAUUAGUUGGGAUUUUCAAGUUCUAUGUAGGCAAGUUCACAACAGUACCAACUGCCAGCCAUCUUUGCAAAUAAUCAAUAAUGAAUUCAUUUUGAAAGUCAAUUAAAAUGCUUACCUGUAGAAUUAACAGAUGAGGAAUUAAUGCCCAGUGAACCUUCUGAAACUAGUGUGACAAUUAUUCUGAAACACAAGUUCGAUGACUGAAAAAAAUAAGAGAAAACUGUAAAGAAAUGGUUUGGGAAAAUAAGAAAAACUUACAACUAAUAACCAUAGAUGGAAAUCUCUGACAUGGUUAUCCAUAUGUUUGAUAACAUACAAAUAUCCAUGUUAUAAAAUUCAUACAAUUUCCGAUAAAAAUCAUAUGCGUACGACAAUACAGAUGGGUAUAAGUGCAAACUGACUCAACCAUGAAACCAUCCAUAAAUUUUUAUAAAAGACUAAUUAACUUAUUUGAGAAAUAUACAAACAUAUCCAUCCAAUUUGUGUUUUACCCCAACAGAUAUAUGAUACAGGAGCAGAAUGUGCAUGAGAAAUAUAAUUAAUGAUUUCUGAACAUCCUUCACAGUGCCUUACGAAAAUAAAAACAUUGUUUACAUAGAAAACCUAUUUAAUGGGGAUGGAAUCAUUUAAAAAAAUUGAUUAAAAGAAAAAAAGUACUCAAACCAAAACAAGGUUUUAACCUCGAAAAAGAUAGCCUGGAUUUCUUGAAUUUUUUUAAAGAUAAAAGCCAAAGUGAUCUAUGGUAUUUAAAUCCCAUGAAAAUUUCCAAUACAGUGAAGUAAGAAACAGAUAUUUUAGUCAUGGCACUACGUAAUAAUAAAUUACAUAUCAAAAAGUAAAAGGCAAUGGCUAAUAUAAUGCCACUACUCUCGGAAUACAUCUGUUUUCCUUCCCCAUUAUGAAAAGCAUUUAUUUUCAAAUUACUGUAACACAGCACAAGCUCUAGAAUGAAUAGUUAGAUAUAGUUAGAUCAUUUUUGUAAAACAAUAAUGAACAAGACAUCACGAUUAACCACAACUAAGUAACUAAAUCAAUCAAUUUAUGUAACUAGUAAUACUCGUUUUGUAGCUUGGCAUAAUGGCAAAGUACACAAAUUCUGUAAAAUCAAGUAAAUAAAUCUAGUUUAAAUAGUUAAAAUUUUCAGUGCCUAGAAGUUCUUAGAAAUAAACUGUGCAAACAUCAUACUCCUUCAUUUCUCGUACAAAGAAAAACACACAUUAUUAAGAUCAUUAUGUUUCUUAGAAUGACAAAAAUAUUCUCUCAAUCAUAAAUGAUAAAAACAAUUUCGCUGUCCACACAAUAUAAGUUAAUUAAAAAGUUUACCUAUAAAAGCUUUAAAGAAAGGAAUCACAAAAAUAACGUAUAAGAAAGAAAUCAAUGCCUGGGAAUAGAAGUAGAAAGCCCCCACAAACUAGAAGGAGAUGGUGAGUUAUAUAUGUUCAGAUGUGCAAGCCUUCUGAAAUUGGUAUUACUCCUGUCCUGACACAUAAGUUCUAUGACUGAAAGGGAUAAAAGAAAACAGUAAACAAAAAAGAUUUGGGGAACUAAGAAAAUCUUACAACUAAUUACCCAUAGAUGGACAUCCCUAUCUUGGUUAUCCAUGUGUUCGCUAAGAUCAAAAUAUUCAUUUUAACCCAACUACAAAUACAGUGAUAAUCAAAUUCAAACAAUUACUUGAAAAAAUUGUAUGCAUAUACAGAUGAAGAUAAUUUGCAUACUGUCUCAACCAACCUUGAAAAAUAAGGACUAAAAUAUUAAGGAAACAAUACAUGAAACCAUCCAUAGACUUCUACAAAAGACUAAUUAACUUGUUUCAGAAAUAUACAAACAUAUAUGCAAGAAAUUUGUAUUUUACCUCAAUAGACAUAUGUUAUACGACUGGAUUUGUCUGUUUCAAAUUGAACGUCAAAAUAAACGAUGCUAAAACUUGGAGAAAUUUAUAAAAAAAUUACAUAAGUACUCUAACUAUAAAUACAAUUCUACUGUAGCAAACUUACUAAAUUCCCUAAGCCUUAAAUGUAAUAUUAAGAAAUAUAAAAAAAAAACUACAGAGGGGUUAAUGCUAUAAAAAUGUUAUUUAAGUAGAAAAUAAUAAAAAAUUUAAAUGAUGACAUUUGAGAAAAAUAUUUAAAAUAUAAAAGCAGUUUUAAAAAUAUCUAAGACAAAGAUGAGCAGUAUAAAAAUGUCAAUACUAAUGAUGUUUAUAAUGAAAUGUAUCAUCAAAAAGCAAGGUGUAAAAAAGAUUUUAAAAUUUUUUGAAAAAAAAAGUACAAAAAUACAGAAAGAGCACUAAAAUAUUUUAAAAAAUAAAACAUUUAAAAUAAUAAUAAGUGAUGUUUAUAAAAUAUAUGAAGUAUUUUAUACGGGAUAAGUUAAUAAAAAUAACAAUCACUUUGAAAGUAAAAUAGAAUUUUAAAAAGAAUAUAAUAAGGUCUAAAUUCAAGGUUGAAAAAAAUAUAUAAAAGUGUAGAAUGUAUUGUUUGGAAAAGUAAAAAUUAUCAUUAUAAACAAUAACAAAAACAAAUUAUAAUAUUCCAAUAAAAUCAUUUAAAUAUGUAAAAAUAAUGUUUAAAAAAUAAAAUGAUGAGAACUAUAAAUAAAUGCUUCAAAAACAUAGAAGUAAAAAGAGUAAUGCUAUGAAUACAGGAUGAAAUUUAAAAAAUAAAAUUUAUGAUAUUGAAUAAAAUAUGUAAAAUGCAUGCAAGAAAUUUAAAUGUUUAAAAAAUUAAAAUAAUAUAAACGUACAUAGUGUAAACAAAAUUGAAAUAUGAAUAGGUAUUGUUUUUAAAAUAAAGUAAAAUUGAAAAAAAGAAUAAAAUUUUCAAAAAAACUCUAUUUAUAUAAAAACAUUUAAAAAGGUAAAAAUAGUAAUAAGACAGGUAAAAUGUUGAGAUGGAUAAGUCCAUACUAAAAAAAUAAGAAUGUCGAUAAGAGAGUAGAUUUUACUCACUUUUUUAUAUGAUCGAGAUAGACCCAAUCAUUCAAAAUUCAAAAACUAACCUCCCAAUUUCAAGCAACAAUCAUCCCAUCGCGAACAUAAUUUGAUUUCGUUAAAAAGAACAACAAAUAUCAAAACAAUUAUCACAGUCUCACGUCCUAAUAGUCUCGGCAAUCCCACAAUCCAAUAUUGCACAUUUUGGGUCAUCAAAUAAUAUUUCCCCAAAAAAUAGAGAAAACAUUCUACUUCAAUUAUACUAACCCUCAAUAAGCUCAAGCAAGCAAUCCCCGAGUCUGACCCUUUUUCAAGAAUCAAUAAUAUCUCAAUUUUAAUUUAAACCAAGGGGUUCAAAUCUCAAAUAUACUAAUUUGCCACCUUCAAAUUAAGAAAUAAAAUUCCAACUGUUCUGGUCACCCAUAAUUCCAUGGCAAUUUAUAUAUACAUUGUUCCUCUUUUAAUCUUUUGAGAUGUCUUUUAAAAACAAAACCGUAACAAAACUCUUAUUUAAAAAAAAAAAACAUACUCAUAUGGGAUAAUUAACUCUAGCGAUAUCUAUCUUAACAAACUUGAGGUCGAAAAACAAUGUGGGACAAUCAUGCCUUAUCAGGAAAGUCCACAAUUUCCAAAUAAUCCAUAAUGCAUCCAUCUAAAGCGUAUUAGCAAUAUUAAGUUUGCAAAUGCAUUCAUGGGAUUUUAGGGUCUUACCAAGGCAAACACACAACAUAAAUCUCCAUUCCUAAGGGAGGAACAAGGAAACCAUAAAAAAGAACCUUCCCAAUUACAUCCAGUGUCCAAAUCUAUAUUCACAUGUCAAUAAUCCAUAAUGAAUCCAUCUAAAGCGCAUUUGCAAAUACAUUCAUGGGAUUUUAGGGUUUUAUCGACAAAACGACAACAUAAAUCUUUAUUUCUAAGUGAGGGACAGGGAAACCAAGUAAAAGAACCUUCCCAAUUACAUAUAGGGUCCAAAUCUAUAUUCACGGGUCAAGAAUCCAUAAUUAAUCCAUCUAAAACGCAUUUGCAAUAUUAAGUUUUCAAAUGCAUUCAUGGGAUUUUAGGGUCUUAUCCAGGCAAAACUACAACAGAGAUCUCUAUUUCUAUGUGACGGAAAAGGAAACCAUGUAAAAAAACCUUCCCAAUUACAUCCAGGGUCCAAAUCUAUAUUCACGGGUCUGUACCAUGUCAAAUGUUUAUCGAUAUUUCAGUAUGAGACAAGAUAUUUCGCGGGAAGAACCUCCAAGACAUGGAAUAGUAUAAAUGAUACAUAGUAUACAAAUAACAUUUAAAUAUUUGAUACUAAGAAGAGAAUCCAAGGUGGAAAUUUAAAGGAAUCCCACGUAGAAAGCGUUUUCAACAGUGUAAUAAAAGAUAAGAUAUUGGAGGAAUUUAGGGUUUAUAUCAUUCGUAUACAUUGUAACAUAAUCCAUAUGCCAGUGCUCAAAGAUUUCACUAAUUCAACACAAGAUUUUAUAACGCGCAAAUCGCAAACCUCAUAUUUUCAAUAAGAAACCCCAAAACACAAUCUUUAAGACACGAACACUAUACUUUAACCUCACGAAUCCAGAAAACGAAUAAUUAUAUAACCAAUUAAUUUGUAAAGUAUGCCUUACAAAUCGUGAAACCGUUGUCCUCUCCUCUCCUUCGUUGGCCUCUCACUCGCCGGCGUAUAGGGUUCCUUCUACUCUGGUGCAACUUUCUUAUCACUCUUCUUCAUUUCUCUCUUCUUUCUUUUACUCCAUGUUUACCCGCCCCGAUGAUGGUGGCGUGCGUGAAGAUGAGACGGACGCAAACGAAAUGGAGAUGAAAAAAUCACAAGGGUUUCAGAGGAAGGAGUUGGGGCUUUAGGGUUCUGUGAUUUCGAGGGAAAUGCAAAUUCGGAAUGAUAAGGGUGCCGAUUUGAGGAAUUAGUGGGAGGGAAUUUGGACAAGAAGUAGGAUAGAAUUUUUUUCUUUCUUUUCUUUUUAAUUUAUAAAACUU